UAUGUUGGCCUAUCAAAGAGGUUCACUGUGUAGCAAGUAUGUUGGCCAAUCAGAGAGGUUCACUGUGUAGCAAGUAUGUUGGCCAAUCAAGGAGGUUCACUGUGUAGCAAGUAUGUUGGCCAAUCAGAGAGGUUCACUGUGUAGCAAGUAUGUUGGCCAAUCAGAGGUUCACUGUGUAGCAAGUAUGUUGGCCAAUCAGAGGUUCACUGUGUAGCAAGUAUGUUGGCCAAUCAGAGGUUCACUGUGUAGCAAGUAUGUUGGCCAAUCAGAGGUUCACUGUGUAGCAAGUAUGUUGGCCAAUCAGAGAGGUUCACUGUGUAGCAAGUAUGUUGGCCAAUCAGAGAGGUUCACUGUGUAGCAAGUAUGUUGGCCAAUCAGAGGUUCACUGUGUAGCAAGUAUGUUGGCCAAUCAAAGAGGUUCACUGUGUAGCAAGUAUGUUGGCCAAUCAGAGAGGUUCACUGUGUAGCAAGUAUGUUGGCCAAUCAAAGAGGUUCACUGUGUAGCAAGUAUGUUGGCCAAUCAGAGAGGUUCACUGUGUAGCAAGUAUGUUGGCCAAUCAAAGAGGUUCACUGUGUAGCAAGUAUGUUGGCCAAUCAGAGAGGUUCACUGUGUAGCAAGUAUGUUGGCCAAUCCGAGAGAUUCACUGUGUAGCAAGUAUGUUGGCCAAUCAGAGAGGUUCACUGUGUAGCAAGUAUGUUGGCCAAUCAGAGAGAUUCACUGUGUAGCAAGUAUGUUGGCCAAUCAGAGAGAUUCACUGUGUAGCAAGUAUGUUGGCCAAUCAGAGAGAUUCACUGUGUAGCAAGUAUGUUGGCCAAUCAGAGAGAUUCACUGUGUAGCAAGUAUGUUGGCCAAUCAGAGAGAUUCACUGUGUAGCAAGUAUGUUGGCCAAUCAGAGAGGUUCACUGUGUAGCAAGUAUGUUGGCCAAUCAGAGAGGCUCACUGUGUAGCAAGU